ACCCAGCUGACGAGUGAGAAAAUAGAGCGAAACGCGCGUCCUAGAU
rfam:Schistosoma haematobium scaffold879_10, whole genome shotgun sequence.